rnacentral:lncRNA from 1 species
AUGGUGAAAUUAUUCUCAGUAGAAAUCCUAGAGAAAAUGUUGAGGAUGAUUGUAACAGGGAAAAAAUUGGCUAUGUUUUUUAUCACAGAGAGAAAGAAAACCUGCAGUGAUGAAAGUGAGCAGAGCAGCACCUGGAAUAAAUCAUCAAUUUCUAUGAGAAGUCCAAGGAACCAGUGGUUCAGUCUGAAGUCUGUGCUAUUCAUGUGGCUGCAGGAAAGGAGACAGCUUCCAGAAAAGGAAAGAGAAAAGAGAGAGGUGUUACUAACCCCCUUGUGA